rnacentral:rRNA from 1 species
AUUGAACGCUGGCGGCAUGCCUUACACAUGCAAGUCGAACGGCAGCACGGGAGCAAUCCUGGUGGCGAGUGGCGAACGGGUGAGUAAUAUAUCGGAACGUGCCCAGUCGUGGGGAUAACGUAGCGAAAGCUACGCUAAUACCGCAUACGAUCUAUGGAUGAAAGCGGGGGAUCGCAAGACCUCGCGCGAUUGGAGCGGCCGAUAUCAGAUUAGGUAGUUGGUGAGGUAAAGGCUCACCAAAGCCGACGAUCUGUAGCUGGUCUGAGAGGACGACCAGCCACACUGGGACUGAGACACGGCCCAGACUCCUAC